AGAGUUUGAUCCUGGCUCAGGAUGAAUUCUGGCGGCGUGCCUAAUACAUGCAAGUCGAACGCGAGCAGCAAUGCUCGAGUGGCGAACGGGUGAGUAAUACAUAAGUAACCUGCCCUAGACAGGGGGAUAACUGCUGGAAACGGCAGCUAAGACCGCAUAGGUAUGGACACUGCAUGGUGACCAUAUUAAAAGUGCCAAGGCACUGGUAGAGGAUGGACUUAUGGCGCAUUAGCCGGUUGGUGAGGUAACGGCUCACCAAGGCGACGAUGCGUAGCCGACCUGAGAGGGUGACCGGCCACACUGGGACUGAGACACGGCCCAGACUCCUACGGGAGGCAGCAGUAGGGAAUUUUCGGCAAUGGGGGGAACCCUGACCGAGCAACGCCGCGUGAAGGAAGAAGGAAUUCGUUCUGUAAACUUCUGUUAUAAAGGAAGAACGGCGGAUAUAGGGAAUGAUAUCCGAGUAACGGUACUUUAUGAGAAAGCCACGGCUAACUACGUGCCAGCAGCCGCGGUAAUACGUAGGUGGCGAGCGUUAUCCGGAAUUAUUGGGCGUAAAGAGGGAGCAGGCGGCGGCAGAGGUCUGUGGUGAAAGACUGAAGCUUAACUUCAGUAAGCCAUAGAAACCGGGCUGCUAGAGUGCAGGAGAGGAUCGUGGAAUUCCAUGUGUAGCGGUGAAAUGCGUAGAUAUAUGGAGGAAUACCAGUGGCGAAGGCGACGGUCUGGCCUGUAACUGACGCUCAUUCCCGAAAGCGUGGGGAGCAAAUAGGAUUAGAUACCCUAGUAGUCCACGCCGUAAACGAUGAGUACUAAGUGUUGGGAGUCAAGUUUCAGUGCUGCAGUUAACGCAAUAAGUACUCCGCCUGAGUAGUACGUUCGCAAGAAUGAAACUCAAAGGAAUUGACGGGGGCCCGCACAAGCGGUGGAGCAUGUGGUUUAAUUCGACGCAACGCGAAGAACCUUACCAAGUCUUGACAUCCUGCGACGAUGCUGGAAACAGUAUUUUCCUUCGGGACGCAGAGACAGGUGGUGCAUGGUUGUCGUCAGCUCGUGUCGUGAGAUGUUGGGUUAAGUCCCGCAACGAGCGCAACCCUUACUGUCAGUUACUACGCAAGAGGACUCUGGCAGGACUGCCGUUGACAAAACGGAGGAAGGUGGGGAUGACGUCAAAUCAUCAUGCCCUUUAUGACUUGGGCUACACACGUACUACAAUGGCGUUAAACAAAGAGAAGCAAGACCGCGAGGUGGAGCAAAACUCAGAAACAACGUCCCAGUUCGGACUGCAGGCUGCAACUCGCCUGCACGAGGUCGGAAUUGCUAGUAAUCGUGGAUCAGCAUGCCACGGUGAAUACGUUCCCGGGCCUUGCACACACCGCCCGUCA
rnacentral:rRNA from 1 species